rnacentral:rRNA from 1 species
UCUCCCCCUCCCUAUGCCUAAACAUGCAGCGGGGGCGGAGAGUGGUCCCCCGUGUAUGGCGCCGCGUGGUCGGCCCAAAUAUGAUCCCCCGACGACGCACGUCACGACAAGUGGUGAUUGAACCCUCAAUGCGCUUUGUCGUACACCAUCGUGUCGAGGUGCACGAUCGACUCGGGGCACGGACCAGCGCGGAUCAAUGUGGUGCUCAAAGCUCAUGCGAUCGAUAUGCUAGUUAUAUGGCAUCGCACCGAUCCAGGCGGACAGCGUGCGCCUCUAUAACUGCGCAUUCCUGGUGCUGGCCUGUGGGCUCCCCAUUUGUCCCAUCUUGAAACAUGGACCAAGGAGUCUGACAUGUGUGCGAGUCAAUAGGCGAUUAAACCCGUAAGGCGCAAGGAAGCUAACUGGCGUGAUCCCUCCGAGGGGUGCAUCGCCGACCGACCUUGAUCUUCUGAGAAGGGUUCGAGUGAGCAUACUUGUUGGGACUCGAAAGAUGGUGAACUAUGCCUAAGCGGGGUGAAGCCAGAAGAAACUCUGGUGGAGGCUCGCAGUGAUACUGACGUGCAAAUCGUUCGUCUAACUUGGGUAUAGGGGCAAAAGACUAAUCGAACCGUCUAGUAGCUGGUUCACUCCAAAGUUUCCCUUAGGAUAGAUGGAGCUCUAGUGCGAGUUCCAUCCGGUAAAGCCAAUGAUUAGAGGCAUCGGGGGCACAAUGCCCUUGAACUAUUCUCAAACUUUAAAUAGGUAGGACGGCAUGGCUGCUCCAUUGAGCCGCAUCGGAGAAUCGUGAGCUCCAAGUGGGCCAUUUUUGGUAAGCAGAACUGGCGAUGCGGGAUGAACCGAAAGCUGGGUUACGGUGCCCAAUUGCGCACUAACCUAGAUCCCACAAAGGGUGUUGGUCGAUUAAGAUAACAGGAUGGUGGUCAUGGAAGUCAAAAUCUACUAAGGAGUGUGUAACAACUCACUUGCCAAAUCAACUAGCCCCGAAAAUGGAUGGCGCUGAAGCACACGACCUAUACCCGGUCGUCAGGGCAAGGGCCAAGCCCCAAUGAGUAGGAGGGCACAGCGGUCGCUGCAAAACCCUGGGUGCGAGCCCGGGUGCGAGCGGCCGUCGGUGCGGAUCUUGGUGGUAGUAGCAAAUAUUCAAAUGAGAACUUUGAAGGCCGAAGAGGGGAAAGGUUCCAUGUGAACGGCAGUUGCACAUGGGUUAGUCGAUCCUAAGGAUCGGGGAAAGCCCGACAGACAGCGCGUUCAGUGCACGCUCCGAAAGGGAAUCGGGUUAAAAUUCCCAAACCGGGAUGCGGCGAUUGACGGCAAUGUUAGGGAGUCCAGAGACGUCAGCAGGGGCCUCGGGAAGAGUUAUAUUUUCUGUUUAAUAGCCCGCCCACCCUGGAAGCAGCUCAGCCGAAGGUAGGGUCCAGUGGCUGGAAGAACACCGCACGUCACGUGUGUCCGGUGCACCCCCGGUGGCCCUAGAAAAUCCAGAUAACCGAGUACAGUCCGUGCUUGGUCGUACUCAUAACCGCAUCAGGUCUUCAAGGUGAACAACCUCUGGUCGAUUGAACAAUAUAGGCAAGGGAAGUCGGUAAAAUAGAUCCGUAACCUCAGGAAAAGGAUUGGCUCUGAGGGCUGAGCAUGGGGGUCCCAGUCCGGAACCCAUUUGCUGUCGAUGAACUACUCGAGCUACUCGCACGGCGAGAGCGGGUCAUCGCGUGCUGGCUGGGGGACGGACUGGGAACGGCUCCCUUGGGGGCCUUCCCCUGGUGUCGAACAAUCGACUCAGAAUUAGUACGGGCAAGGGGAAUCUGACUGUUUAAUUAAAACAAAGCAUUGCGAUGGUCCCUGUGAAUGCUCACGCAAUGUGAUUUCUGCCCAGUGCUCUUAAUGUCAAAGUGAAGAAAUUCAAGCAAGCGCGGGUAAACGGUGGAAGUAACUAUGACUCUCUUAAGGUAGCUAAAUGCCUCAUUAUCUAAUUAGUGACGCACAUGAAUGGAUUAACGAGAUUCCCACUGUCCCUGUCUACUAUCCAGUGAAACCACAACGAAGGGAACGGGCUUGGCAGAAUCAGCAGGGAAAGAAGACCCUGUUGUGCUUGACUCUAGUCCGACUUUGUGUAAUGACUUGACAAGUGUAGGAUAAGUGGGAUCCGAAAGGCGAAAGUGAAAUACCACUACUUUUAAUGUUAUUUUACUUUUUCCGUGAAUCGGAGGCAGCGCAUUGCCCCUCUUUUUGGACCCAAGGCUCGCCCCGGCGGGCCGAUCCAGGCGAAAAACAUUGUCAUGUGGGGAGUUUGGCUGGGGUGACACAUCUUUUAAACGAUAAUGCAGGUGUCCUAAGAUGAGCUCAACGAGAAUAGAAAUCUCAUGUGGAACAGAAGGAUAAAAGCUCGUUUGAUUCUAAUUUCCAGUACGAAUACAAACCAUGAAAGCAUGGCCUAACGAUCCUUUAGACCUUCGGAAUUUGAAGCUAGAGGUGUCAGAAAAGUUAACAUAGGGAUAACUAGCUUGUGGCAGCCAAGCAUUCAUAGCGACGUUGUUUUUUUAUCCUUCGAUAUCGGCUCUUCCUAUCAUUGAGAAGCAUAAUUCACUAAGUGUUGGAUUGUUCACCCACCAAUAGGGAACGUGUGCUGGGUUUAGACUGUCGUCAGACAGGUUAGUUUUACCCUACUGAUGAUGGUGUCGCAAUAGUAAUUCAACCUAGUACGAGAAGAACUAUUGAUUCGCAUAAUUGGUCAUCGUGCUUGGUUGAAAUGCCAGUGGCAUGAAGCUACGGUACUAGACGCGACGCAUGCACCCACUGUCUGCUCCCCGACCCACAGUAGGGGCCCCCGGGCCCCCAAAGGCACGUGUCGUUGGCCAAGCCCCCGCGGCGGACGAGCCGCGUGGGCCUCCUUGAAGUACAAUUCCAAUCGAGCGGCGGAUAGAAUCC